CUCUGGAACAAUGAGGCGGCUACUAUGGUAACAUUGACCCCGUGCAUAGCGAAGAGUCUGGCUAUGUCUAUCAUUGGUAUGAUGUGGCUUGUUGAUGCGAAUGGCUAUCAUCAAGCCUCAGUAUGUUGACCACAUUCUAAAAGCAGGACAAGGGAAUGUAGGGCAGGUGCUUGAUCAGAAAGAUGAGAAAUAAGAAGGCAGAGCUUUGUGCUGAUCUAAAGCUUAACCAGGUUAUAGAUCGUAAUGUUGGUGAUCUUUUUGGUAGAGAGCUCUGAAGGUUUGCCAUUGCAGUUGUUGCCAUCCAGAAUGCAGAGAUAUAUAUGUUUGAUGAACCCUUUAGUUACCUUGAUGUGAAGCAGAGACUGAAAUCUUGUUUUAUCUGCUUGAAAUCUUGUUCGUGUCACUUUUUCUCAUUUUUCUUUUUUCUUUUUGGUUUUAUCUAAGCGACCUUCUCUAUUUACAUUAAUUAAUAUUUAUCACAUUAAAGUAUACUUUUUCGA